rnacentral:tRNA from 1 species
GGAGAGGUGGCAGAGCGGUUGAAUGCGAUAGUCUUGAAAACUAUUAGGCCUGCAAGGGUCUCGAGGGUUCGAAUCCCUCUCUCUCCGCCA